rnacentral:rRNA from 1 species
AUUGAACGCUGGCGGCAUGCCUUACACAUGCAAGUCGAACGGUAACAGGUCUUCGGAUGCUGACGAGUGGCGAACGGGUGAGUAAUACAUCGGAACGUGCCCGAGAGUGGGGGAUAACGAGGCGAAAGCUUUGCUAAUACCGCAUACGAUCUCAGGAUGAAAGCAGGGGACCGCAAGGCCUUGCGCUCACGGAGCGGCCGAUGGCAGAUUAGGUAGUUGGUGGGAUAAAAGCUUACCAAGCCGACGAUCUGUAGCUGGUCUGAGAGGACGAGCAGCCACACUGGGACUGAGACACGGCCCAGACUCCUACGGGAGGCAGCAGUGGGGAAUUUUGGACAAUGGGCGCAAGCCUGAUUCAGCCAUGCCGCGUGCAGGAUGAAGGCCUUCGGGUUGUAAACUGCUUUUGUACGGAACGAAAAGACUCUGGUUAAUACCUGGGGUCCAUGACGGUACCGUAAGAAUAAGCACCGGCUAACUACGUGCCAGCCGCCGCAGUAAAAC